rfam:Pan troglodytes isolate Yerkes chimp pedigree #C0471 (Clint) chromosome 11, whole genome shotgun sequence.
GCUGGGUGUGGUGGUGCACGCCUGUAGUCCCAGCUACUUGGGAGGCUGAGGUGGGAGGAUCACCUGAGUCUGGGAGGUCAAGGCUGCAGUGAGCUGUGAUUGACUGUGCCACUGCAUUCCAGCAUAGGUGAUAGAGUGAGACCCCGUCUCAA